rnacentral:rRNA from 1 species
UACGUAGGGUGCGAGCGUUAAUCGGAAUUACUGGGCGUAAAGCGUGCGCAGGCGGUGAUGUAAGACCGAUGUGAAAUCCCCGGGCUUAACCUGGGAACUGCAUUUGUGACUGCAUGGCUGGAGUGCGGCAGAGGGGGAUGGAAUUCCGCGUGUAGCAGUGAAAUGCGUAGAUAUGCGGAGGAACACCGAUGGCGAAGGCAAUCCCCUGGGCCUGCACUGACGCUCAUGCACGAAAGCGUGGGGAGCAAACAGG